ACUGUACAACAAUAAUCACGCCUAAAUCUUGAUAGUCUUCACUCGUUCGAAUUUUCAUCUUCUACUUUUUCCUCGUUCGAUUCCAGUUUUCAAUGGCGUUGAACUAAUUCAAUUCGUCUCUUACAUUGUCUUCGUGGCGUUGCCCUUGACGGUCAUUUCCAGAUCCCGCCAUGGAAGCCCGAUGUGAGCAUCGAAACGAGCUCCAUGAUCAGAGUGGCGGUGCGGCCGAUCGGUUCGUUUCCGAUGAAUCUACUGCGGGACUACUGGUCGAUGCUUCUGCGGUACCAAUGGAUUCCACUUUCGGCCAUAAGUUUGGUUUAUGCUUCUGCGGUACCAACGGAUGCUUCUGCGUUACUGCGGAGAGGUUACCAUCAGUCAUUCGCGGUCCGAUCCUGCCGUACCUAAGGUGAUCAGCCAUUUUAUAAAAUCUGCUCUUCCUUUGAAGCCUGGUGGUGAAGUGAUCAUACCUGUGACCUUAAAAGGCCUGGCAGCUUGGGUUGGCUGAUUCUGAUAUUAAGGCACUCCAACGAUGGUAGCAGCCCUAGUUUCUGGAUACAUUAUGCAGGUAUUUAUUUCUAAUUACUUCCUUUACUUAGUUCAAGCAUUGGUUUUUUCUCUGUUCUGUUAUUACAAAAGGAAUUGUCAAAACAUUGUAACCCUAUUAAGUAUUCUAUUUAUAAUUCUUAUUUUA